GCCCUUGUAGUAUAAAUUAAUACACUGGUCUUGUAAGCCAGAAAUGGAGCACCUCCCCAGGGUA
rnacentral:tRNA from 1 species